CCCACCACCUCCUCAUAUUUACUCUUCUCCCCCACCACCUCCGCCAACUACCGUGGAGCCUUCACCUCCACUUCCACCAGCACCAACACCUCCGUCGUCAUCCCCACCACCUCUUUCUCCACCACCUUCGUCUGAGGCGUCCGGGCAAAAAAAAGUUAGGUGCAAGAAUAGAGGGUAUCCACAUUGCUACGGAAUGGAGCUAAGUUGUCCAAGUGAUUGUCCUAGCCAAUGUGAGGUUGACUGUGUUACUUGCAGUCCCGUUUGUAGUAAGUUUCUCCUACCUUUAUAUACAAUUUAUUCGUACGGCUGGUUUUCAUAUUUUCUAAAUAGAUAUUUAAUUUCACAAAAAAGUUUUAAAAUGAAUUAAACUCUUUUGAGUUUUCAAAAUUUGACCAUCAAAAUACUUUUAGAAUGUGGACAAUAUAACAUAGCCGAAUAGAUGGAAAAUGACAUUGUAGGCUUAAUAUAGUUUCAUAAACAAGAAAUAAAAAAAUAAAUGGUUUUUUUUCAGUUAAUUUUGAAAAUGAAGUUUUUUGUUUUGUUUCGUCUUGUCUUUUUAACGAUUUAUUAAUUAAUUUUAUAAAUACUAAUUUUGUUCCUAACUUUUUUUUGUUUGAAGUUUCUAUUUUUACUAAUGUUUUGAAAAACUAGGCAAAAAUAUUUGAAAAGGAAAUAAACAUUUUUCAAAAACUUAUUUGUUCAUCGAAUUUGCUAUAAAAGCCGAAGUGUUAACUUUAGGCUAAUUAAUCAAAAAAUUGAUAAUAGUGUUGAGGAUAUUAUUGUUGGAAAGCCAAGUUAUUGAUGAGAGUACAACCACCGCAUGCCAAUAAUAAUAAAAAAGAGCGAAAAAAGAAAACAUAUAUAUAAACAUAUGAGCCGUAUUGCAUUUUCUUAACAAAUAUUCUUCAAUUACUUACGCACAGAUUGCAACCGUCCGGGCGCCGUGUGCCAAGACCCAAAAUUCAUUGGAGGAGAUGGAAUCACCUUCUACUUCCAUGGCAAAAGAGACAAAGAUUUCUGCAUUGUCACCGACUCGAACCUCCACAUCAAUGCUCACUUUAUCGGCCGACGCAAUGUGGACAUGAAGAGGGACUUCACUUGGGUCCAAUCCCUAGGUAUCCUCUUCGACUCUCACCAACUCUUCAUCAGCGCACGAAAAACCUCAACAUGGGACGAUGCCAAUGACCGCCUCUACAUUUCCCUCGAUGACGAAACAAUCAUCCUCCCUAACCAGGAGGGUGCGACCUGGAGUAACUCAACUUCGUACGAGGGGAUUGCCAUAACCAGAAGUAGAAAAACGAACGCAGUCGAGAUCGAAGUCCCUGGGAACUUCAAAAUCAAAGCAGUCGUGGUUCCGAUAACGGAAAAGGAAUCAAUGAUCCACAAGUAUGGGAUUACACAAGAGGAUUGUUUUGCACAUUUGGACUUGAGUUUUAAGUUCUAUGCAUUGAGUGGGAAUGUGAAUGGGGUUUUGGGGCAAACUUAUGGGAAGAACUAUGUGAGUAGGGCUAAGAUGGGAGUGGCUAUGCCUGUUUUGGGAGGUGAUAAGGAGUUUGCUUCUUCAAGUAUUUUUGCUACCGAUUGUGAAGUUACACGUUUCACCAAGGAGAUGGAUGAAAAAGAGAGUUAUGUGGAGGCUGCAGCCUAUGCUAAUAUGAGCUGUGGUAGUGACAUGGAUGGUCAAGGAGUUGUUUGCAAAAGAUAAGUUUGAUUACAAUACUAUUCCAAUUAUAUGAAUAAAUAAAUUAUUUAUGUUAAUUCUAAGGUAAAUUUUGUUUUGGAAAAUAAAUGCGGAAGUUUGUAAUGUGAAAAGGUCUUUGAUUAUUUGUUUUUAUAUGAAUAAAAAAAUAUAUGUAAAAUGUUUAUUGGAUUAUAUAUAUAUAUGCUAGCUAAAUAUAUGAUAUUUGAAAAUUAUUUAUCAUUUCUCUCUGUAAAACUCUUAUCUUGCUUUUAUAUGUAUUGACAUGAUAUUGUCAUAGGUAAUAAUUUUGGUCUAACAAGAAUAAAACCAAGAAAUAAGGGGAGAAAAAAAAUUGAACCUAGGGCUGGGAUAAGAAGAGUUGUGUCUUUGCACUACCACAAAUUUGGAUUCAAAGACAUCUAAUAAGGGUCACAGACAUAUUUUAUGAUACUUAUUUUUGUGUUCUUGAAGCCCCCAUUAAGAAAAGACUUGUCUUUAAUUAGCUUAUGGCGAGUACCUAUCAGGAUCUUUAAACGACACACUUGCUCACCUUUCCGAAUUCAAAUGACUAAAAGUCUAACUAAACAAGGUAUAUUUAGAAGAGUUAACUUAUAGGAUUUAUAGAGCUUCACAUUUAAGGGUGACGACCCCUCGACACCUAAUACCCACACUUGUUCUUAUUUUGGGACACAAAUGAUGGAAGUUAUCUCGUAAAGGUGGAGUUUGUCUCCAAAUUUCUCCUUGUGCGUGUUAGCCAUAUUCUUGCUAUUUUUUCCUCGGGUAGUUGACGAUAUACACUAGCUAGGUGAUGAAAAUAACUUAGCUAACACGAUAAGAGUUAUAAGCUAAACUUCUUAUCAAGAAUCUACAAUAGGUCCUAAACUACAAAUAACACAAGGACAAAUGAAUAGUAAAGAAAUGAUGGAUUGAAAAGGCAUAAAUAUACAUUGUAUUAAAGAAUAAAGGUUUUUGGUCACAGUAAAAUAUGAACAAAUACAGUGUAAAGAAAUUCAAAAAUGGAGAGAAUAAAAGUGACAUUACAAAUUAUGGGAGGUGGAAAUGAGAUCUUCUUUACUCAGACCUCAAACAUUCACUCAUUGACUGACCGGGAGAAGAGAAGGAAUACUUUACAGACGGUGGAAAGGCUCAUCCUUUCCACCUCUCUCUAAGGUUUGACCUAUAUACAAGCUUAAAAUGGCUUAUACAAACAUACUCUUCUUGGUAGGGGUAAAGUCCUUUAUAUAUGUCGAUUUAGUCAAGAAAUCUAAUCUUCUGAGCAUGUUAGUGCCGAAAGCUGCCUCUAUCGCCAAAUCACAUCAACUCCAUCUACCACUUUUGUCUUCUAGUGAACCUCUUCUCGCCUAUUGACUAUGUCUUCUCGUGUAGUCUUUAGGCGAGUUCCUCUAGGAUUUUCUAACUACUUUUAUUUCUAAUCAUGUGUUUAGACACUCAAAACAGACGUGGAUGCUUAUGUAAAAUGCAUUUCUUAAUAUUUAUACAUUUACAACAUAAGCUAGGCAUUUUGACACACUUCUUAUGUAUUUUGGUCUCAUUAUUUUAUCUAAAAGGCUAUAAUAACUUAUAUUUCUACAAGUUAUAUACAACGUUAGUCGUUUACUGUGUAUCCUCACUUAGCCCAAAGUAGAAUUGCUCUUCAGGUAUGUCAUGAUGGGAGUAUGCCUUCACCAAUCUCUUAAAUCUACACCACGAGUCAAUGAGAUUCUCUCUAUCUCGCUGCUGGAAGGUCGUUAGAUUCUGCCUUCUUCUAGAAUUUUCUAUGGGUGGAAAAAGCAUUUUCUUGAAUUUUUCUAUCAGAUCGUCCCAUGUAGAUACCUCUUCUUGCUUUAGAGAGUUUACCUAUCGCUUUGCUUCAUCGCGUAAUAUAAAGGGAAAGAUCUUAAAAUGGAGCUCAUCCCACGAAAUUCUCGACAUGUUGAAUGAAGCAUAGAUAAAGUAGAAUUUGAUAUGAUCAUGUGGAUCCUCGCGUGGAUGUGUGCAAAAUUGACCUGCAUUCUGAAUUAUCUAGAGCAUGAUUGGCUUGAUUUCAAACAUUGCAUUCUCACCAAAUGUUAUGAUAGGUGCUUGUUUUUGUGUGGAUUCUUUGCUUAGGUUGUAGUUUGUUUGUUUGUAUGUUUAGUUUUUGGGUUUGUAAGACUCGAUGCCACUCAACCAUCCCUACAACCUGACCUAAUUGGUCAACUCCAUGGACUUAGUAAUGACUCUCAAUUCUAGACAACAAAACCAGGUUCAACGACAUGGGAAAUAGUGCUAUUGCCUAUAUUGGUAUAAUUUAAAACAAAUUUUUGGAUUUGGUUCGUAUAACCAAGGUCGUUUUAUUAAUGUGUGAUGUUCUCCUUCGAUUUAACAUUAUUUGUCUGGUAUUUAUCAAAAUAAUACAUAGAGUAACACCGAUAAUUUUCGCUCAUAGUAAUUUUUUAUUUAAAUAUGACUUUCUAAAGUUACAUAAUAGUAGCUUACAUGAUUGAUUAGAAAGAACUUGAAGCAAAUAAAAUUCCACCAGGAAACCUCAUGCUUUAAACUUCCAGUCUAGAGAAGCUCCACUACUUUGAUAACGCACACUAGUAUAUUGUCAAAGGUGGAAUACUGAGGGGAGACGCAUUGAUUCAAGGGAAAUAUAAGGAGGAAAUGGAUAAUAGUUUUAUUUGGAGCGUACUAGGGAGUGGAAGCAAUGUUCGGGAUAUUAGGGACUGGAAUAUUAGGAAGGGGAGGCAAAUCGGUGGAUGGAAUAGAAGGAACGAUCGGCGGGAUAGUAGUAGGUGGAACAAUAUUAGGGAUGAAUGGAAUCGAAGACAAUGAAGGAACUCUCGGGAUAAUGGGUGGAAGGUUAGGGACGAUUGGAGGUGAAGGCAAUGAAGGAACUCCUGGGAUAAUGGGUGGAAGAUUAGGGAUGGUUGGAAGCGAAUGCAAUGAAGGAAUUCUCGGGAUAAUGGGUGGAAGAUUAGGGACGAUUGGAGGCAAAGGCAAUGAAGGAACUCUCGGGAUAAUGGGUGGAAGAUUAGGGACGAUUGGAAGCGAAGGCAAUGAAGGAACUCCUGGGAUAAUGGGUGGAAGAUUAGGGACGAUUGGAAGCGAAGGCAAUGAAGGAACUCCUGGGAUAAUGGGUGGAAGAUUAGGGACUAUUGGAAGCGAAGGCAAUGAAGGAACUCCUGGGGUAAUGGGUGGAAGAUUAGGGACUAUUGGAAGCGAAGGCAAUGAAGGAACUCCUGGGGUAAUGGGUGGAAGAUUAGGGACGAUUGGAGGCAAAGGCAAUGAAGGAACUCCUGGGAUAAUGGGUGGAAGAUUAGGGACUAUUGGAAGCGAAGGCAAUGAAGGAACUCUCGGGAUAAUGGGUGGAAGAUUAGGGACGAUUGGAGGCGAAGGCAAUGAAGGAACUCCUGGGAUAAUGGGUGGAAGAUUAGGGACUAUUGGAAGCGAAGGCAAUGAAGGAACUCUCGGGAUAAUGGGUGGAAGAUUAGGGACGAUUGGAAGCGAAGGCAAUGAAGGAACUCCCGGGAUAAUGGGUGGAAGAUUAGGGGCGAUUGGAAGUGAAGGAAUUUUUGGGAUAAUGGGUGAAAGGUCGGGGAUGAUUGGAAAUGAAGGCAAUGAAGGAACUCCCGAGAUAACAGAUGGAAUGGAAGGAAAUAAUUGUGGGAGAUAACGCCGUGCUUCAGUCAGUUCAAUAUUGGUUGAUGAUAGACCCAUAAAUAAAAGGACAAGAAUUAGAAAGCUUUUAUUGGAAGCCAUGUUAGAUAAAUGUUUGCUUCAACGCUUACAAUGAUAUAUCAAAAACAUACGUUCGAGGGGUUUUUAUAUCCAUGGUUAUGUUAGGCAUCCAUUGGUAUAGCUAGCUUAAUUGGUCCCUGCCCCCAUUUUCUAUCAUUAUUGAUUAGUGUCAUUAUGACUACAUUUGUUUUUUUUAAUUUAAGAAAGACGUUUGAAUGUCUUACAAUUCCUUUUUUGUAGUUCUUUAUAAUUUAAAGAAAACAUUAUUUUGUACUUUAAUAGAAAUAUAUUAUUUUUAUAUUUUAGUGAAAUUAGAAAACCCAUUAAAAAAAAUAUGAACAUACAAACACUCCAAACAAAAUUUACAUGGAUGUCAAAUAAAAUAUUACAUUAUCUGUUCAUUGUAUAGUUAAUCGUGAGUUCAACUCUAACCAAAAUAAUCUUUCAAUUAGCUAGUCGUAGGUUAAAACAACUGUGAUUAAUUUCAACUAUAAUAAUAGGGACCAAACACUAUGUAGACUAUAAUACAUCAUUCCAAUAAUUACUCAAGUUGGGCUCAAAGUACAUCCCAUUCGUUUUCAUUCUUCUCUUUAAGAGAAAAUACUACGUUUCCUACAAUGUCCACUUGUUACAAUUUGUUUUACUCCUCUGAAAUUAACUUAUAUGACAAUUAUAAUUGAUACCCUAUUUAAAGAAUUAUAAAUAUAGUAAUUUUCUCCCUAUUAUUUAUAAUACUAUCGCUAAUUUUUCUAUAAAAAAUUUGAGUUCAACAAUAUGUGUUAGGAGAAUUUACCCUCUCAUCUCUUGGUUCGAUUUUAAUAUUUCAAAUGAUCUUUUUUGUUGUUUUUGUCCAUCUUUUUUCUCAUUCUUGUUUCACGUUAUCGGAUCCUUUUCAAAUUUGUCAGUUUUUUUUUUUUUUUCAAUUUCGUUAUACGUCGAAUUUCAUAUAAUACUCUCACGUUGUAGUUGAACUUUAUUGACUCUUUUUCUUUCUCAUAAGCUCUUUUUUUAGUUGUUUAAUUGUUAUAUGUUUUAGCACACACCCAUUAUUGGAUUCAAACUUUUAACAUUUUUAAUAAAAAAAUGUCUUUAUAAUAUACUCAUAUUGACUUUUAUAUCACAAUAGUUUUGUCAUGGUUAGAAAUCUAUUGGUAUAGAUAUUUACUAUCACUAAUACAAAUUUUAAUUAACAAACUAGAUCUAUUAAUGAUAAACUAGUAUUACUCUAGUACAUAUUUUACAUCUUUUUUUACCAAUGGAUUUCACACAAUUUGUAGGAUUUUGUUUUCAAUGAUGAUGUUUAGGUAUAAAGGAAGUGGAAAGUCAAGUAUGACAAAGCUUUAUUUCCUUUGUAAACUUCUAUUGGUAAGGAGUAUAUCGUGCAUGUGUCAUGAUGAGAAUUCUCCUAAAGAAUUAGGUGUGAGGCACACUUGAAACAUUGUUCAAUUAGAAGUGUUGGGACAAAACCUCCCAAUCCUGCAUUAGAAAUUAAAAAGGAUGAAAACACAACAUUUUACAUGAAAAACUCUCCUCUUACCAACAAAAAAAUUAUGGACAAUUAAGAAAGUAAUUCAAUAUGUAAAAAAUUAUUAUUACAAUUAAUUAAUUUAUCUCUUUCCAUUCAAUUACAAAAACAACCCUUUCAAAGCUUUUAAGAUUUUAAAUUGUUUCUAAUUGAGACAUUUGUAAACAAAUGAGAUGACUUUCUUUUAUAGGCUUAGAGUCACACACCUUUUUACAAAAUAACUUAUGCGGAAAAACUAUUUUGUCGAAAAAUUCAACAAAAAGAACACAAUAAGAUUGCAAUAUAUGGAGAACGAACAUGCUGGAACAACUCAAGAUAAUUUUUUGAUUUCAAAAUAUUUUCUGAAAAUUAAAACUUUGUGUUUUGAAAUUUUAGAAUUAGAGAAAAAGAACCCUAUAUUAGCGAUGCUCAUUUGCACCAAUAUGAUCUUACUCGUGGACUGCAAAAUAUAAGUUUAUGCCAUUUACUUCUUAGAUACAAGAUUAGGUAAAUCAACCUUUGAUGAGUUGGAAAACUUGCUCUCAAAAUCUUGACAGCAAGCUCUCAUCUCAAGGUGGAAGUAGUUAUUUAAGCAAAAGACAAAGGAAGCGUUAGUUGUUCUUUAAAUGACAACCAUGAUUCUAAGGUGUGGAAAGCUUGGGGCACAUCAAAUGUGAUUGUCAGGUGAAGGUGGUGUGUCGUCGUUGUGGAAAAUUCCAUCAAAUUGUCAUCUAGUUCUUAUGAAAAUAGAAGCAAAUAUUGUACAGAAAAAUGACACACCUGAACAAGUUAAAUGCAAACAAUUAUUAUCAAUUGAAGCUAUUGAUCAACCCUUUUUUUUGCAUGCUAUAUUUCUAUAGUUUACCUUACAUAUUGGAUUGUUUAUUUCCAUUGUUCUCAUCAUACAAUUGGAAAUGUUUCUAUUUUUAUGUAUGUGCUCACUGAGGGGAGAGUAAUUGUAAUGGCUGACAAUUCUUUACAUCGUGUUAUAUAAUGCAUUUGAUAUAGUUGUGUCCAUCUAAUACAAUAACCAUGAUUACUAAGUUAAUUCUUCACAGUUUGUUUGUAACUUUGGCGGAGCAAAAAUAUUGUUUUACCCUCCAGAUUACAUCUUGCUCCUUAGAUCCCACUGAUUUACUAUUAAACAAUUGGUUUAAAGUCCAAACUAUAAAUCAAAUCCAUCUCGAGCCAAUGAGAGAGUGAAGCCCCUUGUUCAAGACCUAAAAUUAGUCCUUAAAGGAACAAUAAACUAUCUACUAUCCCUAAAGUGGGAAUGAGUGAAUUUCGUCUUGCUCCCUAUGUCCCCAGCUAUCCACUCAGUUUUACCUUUGAAAAGGAAAGCUUAUUGGGCUAGCGCUGUUGAGUUGCCCUCACUUAUGCAGAUCUAAGGAUAAAUUCAUGUAAACAAGAGUUCGUAGUUAAUUUUAUAUAGUAAAUGGUGUUAUAAUGUAAAAUGAACUAUUUUAUGAUUCCAGCCUUAUGUAACUUAGGUAAACAAGAGUCACUUUAAUGUUUCCACAUGAAAGAUUAAAGAUUAAAUUGUUUGUAAUAUCUACAAAGUGAGUCACAUCUAUAAUAUCCUAGAAUAAGACAUCUAACCUUAUUCAUAUACUAUAAAUGAUUUAGGAUAUAUAUUCAAAUUGAAUCCAUGUUUGUCUCUAAAUUUAUUUCAAGUUUACUCCAUAUAUUCUUAGGACGUUAGUUGAUUGAAUUUAUGUAGAUUAUUGCAUUCAAUUUCACUAAUAUAAUUUCUUAAUAAAAACUUUAUUGAAUACAGUAUUGUUAGAUUUUUUUUAACAAAUAUGAAAUUGGUUUUAUUUUUAUUUAAAGAAAGAUGAAAUAUCUUCCGUAUGUUUAGGAUCAUUUAUCAAUAUCUUUUAAUAAGUAGUCAAAAGUUUUUUUCUUAAAUAUCUCCUUUAAAGAAAAAUAUAUUCCUCAUAUUUAGGAAUAUUUUAUUGCAAGUUCUUCUUUUUGGCUCUUUAAAAAUGAGAAGUUUUAUGAAUGUAAAAUUAUUCUUCAGAGCUGCUGUUUUUACAUUUAUAUUUUUGGUGAAGAAUCUAUAUGAAGGUAAAUCAGAUAAUUUCUGCAUUAUGACAGAUUAUUGAAGAUCGUCAAGGGAUUUGACAGAGUAUCAAUUGAUAAGAAAUAUAUGAAAAUGAAAACUGAGAUAAUUGUACUACGAUCAAUGAAUUCCACGGAAGUCUGAAUUCGUCUUGGAAGAGAUUCAAGUUUACCGUCAGGGGAGCCUAAGUUUAUAUGGUGAAGUUAUGGUGAUAACUUGUUAAUGUAACUUUAGGGUUAAGUUACAAAAUUUUUAAUCUUAAUGAUAUUUUUUAUCUAAGCAAAGAAGCUUCCCAGAUGUAGGUCAUAUUUACCGAACUGGAUUACCAAAGUGCAUAGUGUUAUUGGUCUUUUCCGUACUCUAGUUAUUCCUAUAACUAAUUCUACCAUGUAGCUAAAGUAGCUAAUUCUACCAUGUAGCUAAAGGUGAUUUUCUUGAUCAUAUUAUUUUUUCAAAUAUGAUUUAAAAUUAGUUUUAGAACAUAAAUUUUAAUAAUAUUUGAAACUUAACUUUUCCGUUUACAAUACAUCUCCAAUAUUAUUUUCUAAUAAAUUUUUGAAGCCAUAGGUAGAACUAUGUGAACUUUGUCCUCGUGUUCAACCACCUUUGGAAAAGCAAAUUUACACUUUAACUUAUUUUUUUUAAUUAAAAAAUAAUAAUUGUUAUGCUAAACUCAAGUUGUAUAUGUUCAAACUCAACUUUUAAUUUUAUCAUAAUUGAGUUUAGACAGAUUCAACUUUUAAUUAACUUUUUAUAAAUUAAUGAAUUUCAGUAAAUGUAAGUUUUGGAAAAAAAAAAAACUUCUGUUAUUGAAAGAAUUAUCCAUUGAAUAGGGAUAACAUACCAACAGAAUUUGAACAAAAACUUUAACUCUAACAAUACUUUUCUCUCAUAUGUUUGUUUUAAAUUUUAUAUUAUAUGUAUGUUUUGUGACGUGUAAGCCAUCAAAUGCAUUCGACUAAAAUUUAACCCAGCAUGUCAACAUGAGCUUAACUCAACUGACACCUGUAUGUUUAUGUGAAUAAGAGGUUUCAGGUUCAAAUCUCCACUCCAACAUUUAUUACAAUACGUUUGCAAAAAAAGAAAAAAAUUAAUCUAACAUUUGGAGCUAGAAUUUAUGACAAAUUUAAAGUUGUACAACUAUACUAAUUUUCAAAAAUAGAAAAAUUAUUACAACUAUUUAUAAAGUGUAACAAAAUCCAUGAAACUCUCUGUAGACCAUUUAUUUAUUUUUUUUUGCUCUAUUUUGUAAAUUGUUUUAUUUUGUUUUUUCUUAAAAUAAUUGCAAAUAUAGCAAAGUUUAUUGAUAGUAGAAUAUUAUAUUAUUGAUAACUCAAUAUUUGUAAGACGGUCUAUCAAUGAUAGACUUUAAUAAAUUUUGUUAUAUUUGCAAUAUUUUUAAAAUGUUACUAUUUAGAUCAAUAUUUUAAAUUUAAUUAUAUAUUUGAACCUUUCCAAAUAUCUUAUCUAACAUAUUAUUACAUUUAUUUAAAUUUUAAGUAGAAUUUAACAAAAUUGAAUGUUGAGUAAAAAUGGAUACAUUUUAAACUUAGGUCAAAUUCCUUUUUAAGUUUACUUUUUUGUCCAGCUUUUGUAAAGUUAAUGUUGAGUGAAUAUAGACCACACAAAUGGUGCCAACCAUAGUGGGAGCCUAGUUUCCAUAAUUUUUGCUUUACAAAAAAGUAAUCUAUUUUAAUUACUCUUAAUUGCACUUCAAUAUAUAUUAAAAAAUAAUGAAAAUACAUAAUGAAUUUGAGUUUUUAAAAAAUAUAAGAAACCAGUCAAAUAAUUACAUUGUAUAAAAUAAUUUUGAAAAUGGAAAAAAACUCACACUUACAAUGAAAAAUAUAAAAAAUGUCUCAGUUAAUUAGCAUGCGAUUAAUCGGUCACACGCUUGUGCGAAUAAUCUUCUUCUAAACUAUCGUGUACUAUUAUGUAAACAAAAUAAUAUACUAUCGUUUAGGUCAUGAUAUACAAUCGUAUAAUACGUGUUGAUCAUGCUAAGUGAUCGUAUUGACCAUGACAAACGAUCAUGUUCAUUAUGGUAAACGAUCAUAUAAUCAAAUGUAAAUGAUCGUUAAGAACUUCAAAUCAAACGAUGGUGUUGACCAUGCUAAAUGAUCGUGCUAACUAUGGUAAACGAUUGUGUAGUUUGUUUUAAACGAUGAAAAAAAUUUCAAAUUUAAACGAUCGUGUUGACCAUGGUAAAUGAUCAUUUAGAUCAUGUCAAAAUGAUAUUUAAACGAUUUUGUUAUUCUCGAAUAUGAAGAAGAUGAAGUAGCUUCAUAGAAUCUUGUCAAAAAUGAUGAAUAAUAGAAAAUUUAAAUAGAAGGAUAAAUUAUCUAAAAAUAGAAGAAAGAAAAUUUGGAAAAGAAGAUGAAGAAAUAUAGAAGAGAAGAAAUAUAGAAGAGAAUAAAUCUGGAAGAGAAGAUGAAUAAUAAAUCGUAAAGAAGAAGAAAGAGAAGUGACGAGUAGUAUGCAAUAUCUAAAGGCAAAUCUAGAAAUUAUGAAAAUAUUUUAUCCACUUGAUCAUGGGCUUUUAUUUUUUAUUACACGGGUCGUUAAUAUUUUUUGUUUUUGCUACAUUUAUGUAAAUUGUCCUAAUAAAUUUUUUUCAUUAAAAUACAAAUGAAGUGUUCCUUGAUUUGCUUGCGAAGAAAAUAUACAUUAAUGAAAUAGUCUUAAGUCAUAAUCUAAGUAUUGGAUUGAUGGAUAAUGUCAACUGAACUCAAUUUUUCUUUGUCAAGACUCAAGUGUAAGUCUAAAUAAAGGAUUUUGAUGAAGUCUAGGGUCGAACACAUGAACUUGUCACUGAAGCGAAUGCUUGGAUGCAAGAAGUGAUUUUGUGCGAUUUAUUAAUUAAAAGAAUAUGAUGAAUAAUAAUAAUAUUUCUAAUAUGAGGGUGGCUAUAUCUACUUACAAAGGAUGGUGAUUGAUGGAUGAUGGUUAUAACGGGGAUGAGGUGAAUAUGAUAUGAUGAAUGCGGUGAGAAAUGAUGAUGCAAUAAGUAUCGAAGGUUGUUUGGAUGUGGUGAAUGUUUGCAAUUCUUAUGAAAAUAGCAUGUACAGUGAGUUGGGAAAGAAAAAAGAGAAUGAAUAAAGUAAGGUAUACAAGAUUAUCUAACACUUUCUUUAGUGAUCCAUAAGUAUGAGUUAAUGUUUUUAACUCUUGAAGAUAGAAAGUGUCAUUAGGUUAAUACUAGGCUUUGAGGUCACAUAAAGAUGUUGCUUAACAUUGUGAAGCUUCUUGGGUCUCUCAUCUUUUCUGGAAGCUCUUUCUUUAAGAUGUCGCUUGUUUUCUUUUCUUGUGUUAGAGCGAUUGUUUCUAACUCAUUUAGCCUUCUUUUCUUUGAAAGUAUGUCGAUAACUUAUAGAAAUACAAGUUAUUAUGACUUUUUAGGUAGAAGAAUUGACAAAAACGCAUGCUUAUGUGUCAAAACGUAUAGCUUUUAUUGCAAAUUCAUAAAUAUUAGAGAAUACAACUUGCACAAGUCUGCAUACCUGUUUUGCCUUGGUUUUUAGCGUUUUACCACAUGAUUAGAAAGAAAAGAAAACAUAGUGAAUCAUAGAGGAACACAUUCAAAGGUUAUGCGAUAAGGACCUUGUUUGACGAAUAAGAUCCCUAGGCAAGAAACUACAUCCUCACCCACUCGAAGAAGAUUCACUAGCAGACACAAAUGGUAGUUGAAGUUGAUGUGACGUGACAAAUGCUGCAAUUGACACUCAAUGAUCAAAAGAAUAGAAGUUUUCCACCAAAAUUUACCCAUAAAAGAACUCCAUAUCUAUCAAGCAAGGUGGUCGACCUUGAAGAGGCCAAAUAUCCAAAUGGGCCAAAACCUAGAGAAUUGGUAAAAAAGACUAGCCUUUUCGCCGUCGGUAAAAGUCAUCUUCUUCUUCUCCAGUAAGUCUAUGAGUGCUUAGAGAGAUGGAGAAAGAUUCCACCAUUUCUAUUCCCCUAACUUGUAACAUUUCUCAUUCUCUUUACUUUCCACUUUUGUAUUUCAUUGUAAUGUGUAGUGUUCAUAUUUUAUAGUGGCCUAAGACCUACAUUCUUUAAUACAUUGCAUAUUUAUGCCUUUUUUAUCCAUCAUUCUUUUACUUUUAAUUAGUCAUAGUGUUAUAGGUAGUUUAAGUUUGUGAUACGUUCUUGAUAAGUAUUCUAACUUAUAAGGUCUAUCGUGUUAAAUGAGCUACACUCCAUUGUUUGGCCAGCGCUUGUCGCCAACUACUCUAAAGAGUAAGUAGCAAGGACACAGCUGAUGUGCGCAAGGAGAAGUUUGGACAAACUCCACCUUGGUGAUUAAGCUUCCAUCACUUAGGUCCCGAAAGGAGAAUAAGAGUGGGUACUUGGUGAAGAGAGGUUGCCACUCUUAAAAGAGAAGUAUUAUAAGUCUUAUAAACAACAACUGUUAGAUAGCUAUCGCUUAAUGAAGCUUUGUCAUUUUCAUUCUGAGAGGGGAGCAAGUAUGGCGUUUAAGACACUGAAAAGUGCUCACCUUAAUCAGAAGCUAAUUAAUUGAUGUCUAUCACAUCACAACUUAUCACAGAAUUUAAUCUUUUACAAUGUAUAGACUUUCCUUCAUGUUUCCUUAACAUAAGUUAGUUCAUUCCCUCAUCUCCUCGUCAUGCUUACUACCUUUUAUAGAAUCUUUAGCAUAGAUAGUAGACAUAACUUAAACAUGCAUUUACUUUAUAUUGUAUAUUUAUUUUAUACUGCCUAGAUGAAGAAGUAGACUUUAUAACUAACAUUUGAUAUUAAUUCCCUGUGUUCGACCUUAACUUAUCCAAGAAACCCAUUGUUUGGCUUACAUUUGGGCAAACAAUAGAAAAACUGAUACUCAACCAAAAUUUAGUAACUAUGUGAGAAUUUAGAGACAUACUAAGCAUCUCACAUGCAAUGACCAUAACUCGCAGCGUAGAAAGGCUUGCAAUAUGAAUUUAACCUAUAACCUAUAAAUCUUGAAACUAAAUGUGAAAUGGAAUGAAAAUCUAAACAACCAAGUUUUUGGCACCAUUGCUGGAGAAUUGAUUUUUCAAAAUUAGAGAGAUAUGGUUUUACUUUGAUUUUGGGCAAAACACUUGAUUCUUAUAAAUCAUGCGUUCAGUCGAAGAUCACAUGAAAAGGUCUGUGGUACCAGAGUAAUCUGUGAUGCAUUGACUAAACCCAUAGAUUGAGUGUAUCUUUCGAUAUUGAUAAGAUGAGUCUUAGUUGAUGCGAUUUAAACGCAAAUGAAGUUGAGGGCCUCAAAUGCCUUGAAUCAAAAUUGUUUAAUCUCUUAAAGAAAAGAACAUUUGCUAAGGUGUCAAAGAAAGUGUCCACGCGAUAAGUUCAUUAAGACACUUUGUCUUAACUAACUACCCGAUAAAAGGACCAAAAGAUUAUUUUUCAUAGUGUAGUGAUCGCUUGUGAACGAAGACUUAUUGCGAUGAGCGGAUGUAACGCUCCAUGCCCAGGAUUCAGACUAGGAUUUGGAAUUCGGAUCUCCGACAUUGCCCUACAUCCCCUACGACCUGACAACAUCAUCCUUACUAUUCCUAAAGGCUUAUUGAGUUUGUCCUCACUCACAUGCAUUCUGGAAAAAUUUCCAAGAGGUCACCCAACAUGGAAUUACUCAAAGUUAAGCGUGCUUGACUUUGAAGUUCCUAUGAUCGAGUCAUAGAAAAGAAAGGUGCACCUUGCUGAGAUAGAUAUUAAAUUUUAAUUCUUUUAAGUCUUUCUUAACAUUACUUUCAUGUCAUCAGGAUCCCUCUCAUUCAGAUGUGAACCCGUUCAUUCAUGUCUUCCUUCUAAUCUUGGACGUUACAUGGCCACCAGCUUUCCCUUAGUUUGUCCUCGAACCACAUCUUACUAAGAAAGGUUUCGCUUUGAUACCAACUGUAACGACUCAACUCUUUAUACUAAGCUGAUGUCAUUACCAGUAAAACAAAUAAAAGUUUUUGUUUAAAUAAAUGAAAACGUUUCAAAUAUUCAUUUUAAAUCAAUAGUAAAUAAAAUGUGUGAAGAAAAUAAUAAAUAAAUAUUAGGUAAAACACUAAUCGAACCCUAUUUAAAAUAAAAGAAAUUUCUAAAAGUAAACCUAAGUUCUGAAAUAAUCUUAUGAAAAUUGAAUGCUGAAAACAAUACAUGCGCAAUAAAACAUAUAUUGUCCCCUAUGGCGAUCCACGAUCUCUUUUUGUCAUUCGCCAACUUGCCUUUACUUCUAUCUUUGCCUGAAAAAAAUUAAACAUAGAGAAAGGGUGAGUAUAAUUUAUACUGAUUAAGGGACCCACUAUUAGUCCCGCUAGAUGUUUAUUAAAGUUUUGUUAGAGUCCUGUAAGAAGGUAUCGUCUAAUUAUUAUGCCCCUGAAAGCACACUAUCCAGUGAUCCACUAGGGGCACAACUGGGCUCUCGGUGGCCCCAAAGGAAACACCUUAAAGGCGAGUCGGGCUGUAAGUGAUAAUAUUGAAUCACACAUAAAACUGACCACACAGGCAUAAAUAGGUGGUGAUCCCAAAGGACACUCAUAUGGUACGACUCUAACAGUAAAUCUAAUAGAACAUCAUAACAUUUACAGAUAUAUAUCAUCAUAAAUAUCAUAGCUCAGUCAAACAUAACUCAAACAUAGCCUAUCUGACCAUAGCAUGCCUCAAUCAUAAUUUAUCAUGGUCAUAACAUCUCAGCCACAUACUAUAGAACAUGCAUGCAACUUUAACGUGGGGUCUAAUAGGGAAUCUCUUACCUUGAGAUUAGCUCUAAAAUCCUGGCGAAUAGUCAGAAUCCAAGUACUCAAUCCUCAAUUCCCAAAAGUUAAAGGUUGAAUUCCAAUUCAACCUUGGUUUGGAAUAACUCCACGCUUCACUUCCUCCAAAACAAUUUAGUCAACCAAAAUGUAAGGAAUUAUUCAACUUGGCUCACUGCAAGGAAGUGGCUUGGAAACGACUCAAGAAGGAAGGGUCGGCUGGGAUCAAGAGGGGUCGACUUGGAGGCAGCUCAGGUGAAAUGGAGACUGGCUCGAAUGGCUUCGUAGGGAUGGUUCGGGCGCACAAAUCGUGAAAGGGUACCGACUCGAAUUGAAGAUCAACUCAGGUCUGUGAGCUUCGUGGUUGGCCUCGAGCUUCGUUAGCGUCUUCAUUUCGGCAAGCCUCGCGUCGUCAUCCCUUCGCCGCUCCCAUAGUCCGAUGAAGCCGAAGCCAAGUGUAUUUGGCUUAUUGGAGGGCAUUUUCGUCUUUUACCUUGGAAUUUAAUUAAAAUUUUGCCAUAUUUCCAAUUCUUUUAAACAUUUUCUAUAUCCUUGAUUAAUUUAUACUGAUUUACUAUAUUUUCAGUUAGCUAUUUUUAAAAAUAAAAGAAUUGGCAAACUAUUUAAGGUCUAUAUAUAGCAAAAUUUUAAUCUAAGUCCAAAAUGAAUAACCAAAAGGGGCAUUUUUAAAAUUAGCAAAAUAAAUUAAAAUAUUUACAAGCUAUAGCAAAAUUUUGGAUUCUAUCAAUGAUAGUCUACUAUCAUUAUAACAAAACUAUCAUUAUAGCAUAUCAAUGUCUAUCAGUGAUAGGAUUUUCUAUAAGUUAUAAAUAUUUUGUAAAAUUUGCUACUUUUUAAAAUUCUCCUAAUUAUUAAGUAAUUAAUUGAUUGGUUAGUUAGUUGAUUUGAAAUUUAUAAUAAUUUAAUAUUUUUUAAAAAUAAUAGAAUCUCAUAAUUCUCUCAUACUCCAUCAAGGAAAAGAAGUUAUAAAUAUGCAAAAGAAAAACAUUUUUUUCUAAAUUAAGAAAAAACCAAUGCUUUUGCUCUCUACAAAAAUAGUUUUCUCAUUAAAACUUUUUCCAUCCUAAUUGAUUUCGACCAACCAAUCUCAUCCCAGAUGAUAGGAAUGUCUAAGGGUGGUGUCCCCAAACUUGAAGAUUUAGUAGAUUCAGAGACAUCCAACUGCGUAAGUUUUUCUCUCUCUAAAUUGUACUUUAUUAAAGCAUGCUUAAUAAGAAAAUUAGUUUCUUAAUUAUUUUUUGCCAAUGUAUUGGUAUUUUGGAAUUCUCAAAUUAAAUUGAGGAAUGGUUCUGUAAAAUCUUCCGCUGCCUAGGGUUUGUAACCCUUUCGUAGGUCUAUUAGGUCCCCUACCUAGCUCGUAAAGGAUAAUGAGAUUUAUUUAUAUCGGUUGUAAUUUGAAAUGUUCAAGUUUUAUUUGGAAAUUAGUACAAUUUAUGGUGAUACACUAUAAUAUAAAGUUGGAGAAUUUUCAAAAAUAACAAAUUUUACAAAAUAUUUAUAACCUAUAACAAAUUCUAUCAUUGAUAGUGAUUGAUAUGCUGUAGUGAGAGAAGAUUAUCAUUGAUAGAAUCCAAAAAAUUUCUACUACUUAUAAAUAUUUUAAUUUAUUUUUUCAUUUUUAAAAAUAGCUCAUUUAAAAUUUAUAUUUUAAUCAAACUUUAUUAUAUAAAUUAAAUUUUGUAUAUGAUUCAAAAUUAAUUUAUGAGAGAUAAAAUAUUUGGAUGAGUUCUAAUACUAAUUUAAUGUGAAUUGGAUUCAUUUUGAAAUUAUUGGGUAUGAGAAAAAUUAAUUAUAUUUGAAUAUGAUUCAAAUUUAAUUUAAGUUAAAUAUAAGAUAUUUAAUUUAACUAUUAAAUAAGGUGCAUUUUUAAAAAUAGCAAAGUAAAUUUCAGUAUUUACAAGCUAUAGCAAAUUUUUGGAUUUUAUCAAUGAUAGUUUUUUAUCACUAUAGCAUAUCAAUUACUAUCAUUGAUAAAAUUUGCUAUAGGUUGUACGUAUUUUAUAAAAUUUACUAUUUUUAAAAAUAGCAAAAUAAAUUAAAAUAUUUACAAGUUAUAGUAAAAUUUUGGAUUCUAUCAAUAGUAAUGUUUUAUCAUAUAGCGUAUCAAUGACUAUCCUUGAUAGAACUUGCUAUAUGUUGUAAAUAUUUUGUAAAAUGUGCUAUUUUUGAAAAUUCUCCUUUUAAAAAUUUUCUUUUGAAAUUUUUAUUAAUUUAAUAUUUUUUAAAUUAAUAGGAUCUCAUUAUUCUCUCUUACUCCCUCAACUACUCCAUGAACGAAAGAGAGUCAUAAAUACGGAAAAGAAAAUAGUUUUUCUUCAAUAAAUAAUUUUGCUUUUCUGCACAAGAGUUUCUCUAAGAAAAUAUGUAAACUUUUUCUCAUCUCAAUUAGUUCCCACAAACCAAUCUUAUCCGAGAGGAUAGGAAGAUCUCCGACGGGUGGUGUCUCAAUUUGGAGAUUUAUUUUGUAGAUUCAAAGACGUCAAAUAAGUAAGUUUUUUUUCUCUAAUCUAUAAUUAAAAAGCAUGCUUAGCCUUUAAGUUUUAAUUAGAAAAUUAGUUUCUAUAUUAUUUUUUCAAUGUACUGGUAUUUUAGGAUUCCCAAAUUAAAUUGAGAAAUUGUUCCGUAAAAUCUUUCAAUGCUAUGAGAUUUUAUCACUUCAUCAAUGAUUCUAGGUACUGAUGUUAGAAACUUGGGUCACCACUAUAACGAUCCAACAUUUUAUACUAAGCUAAGGUCAUUAUCUUAAAGAUAAAUAACAAUUUUGAUAAUUUUUUUUGAAAAGAUGAAAAUUUAAAUUUUAUUAAAAAUAUCAUGAAAACGUGUGGCGCAGCUAGUUCUACAUUUUUAAAGAUAACAAAAUAUUUAAGCUCAAAACCCUGAAAACAAACAAUGAAAAGUGGAAGCAAAACUGUGUCCCCAUAUGUCAUGUCACAGAUCCUUCCUGUUGCUCGCCAGCUUUCCUCUAUCUUUACCUUUGCCUAAAAUAUUCAACACAGAAAAAAAUGAGUAUAAACAUAUACGCAGUAAGAGAGCCACUACUAGUCCCACUAGGUGUCUUUUAACUUCCCAUUAGGAUUUCGUAAGGAAAUUCCCCAAAACUAUCGUGCUUUCGAACACACACGCUAUCUAGUGAUCCCGUAGGGACACAUCUAAGCUCCCGGUGAACCUAAAGGAAACAACUAAGAGAAACUGGUCUUCGACGAACCCAAAGGAACAACUAAAAGAAUUAGGUUGUAAGUAAUCUCGUGUCGAAUCACUCAUAAAAGUUAACCACACAAACAUAAAUAGGUGGCGAUGCUAAGAAACACCCAUAUGGGUCAGACAAAGUUAACUCUUAAAUCGCACCAAAAUAAAUUACUAAAAUCAUUCAUCCUUUAAUUAAAUCUUUCACAACACCAAAAUUUCAAAUUCAACAAUUAAUCAAAGAUUCUUCCAUAAAAUAUUUAAUUACUCCUAACUUCCACAAAAUUAAAUAAUUUCCAAUGGAAUGAAAUCAAAUAACACCCAAUAAAUUAAACAAAACUAAAAUAAUUAUUUCAAAAAAUUGUCUUAAUUUUUUGAGGUGUUACAAUUACAAGUGUGAGGAGAUUUUGUAUGGAGUUGAAUGUUUGGUAGAUGUUGGAGGAGGGAAUGGGACUUGUUUGAGUAUUUGAGUGAAGGUUUGUCCAUGGACUAAAGGUAUUAAUUUUGAUCUUCCUCACGUUGUCUGCUUCAAGAGAGCUGGAAGGUGUUCAACGUGUUCGUAGCAAUAUGUUUGAUAACGUCCCAAAGGCUGAUGCUGCUUUCAUUAUGGUAUGCUGUUUAAUUUGUUUGUAGAUGGUAAAUUUGUUAGAUAAUAAUUGGUAAUGAGAGAAGUAUAAAAAUUGUGAGAUCAGUUGAAUAUUUUCAAUAUGUAUGAGAUCCUCGACAAAAUUUAAGGUUUUAAAAGUUUGUUACUUUUAAUUUAUUUUCAUUCAAUAUCACUCACACCGUUUCUGUACUGUUUUCUGGUUUCACAUCCAAUUUCAUUUAUUCUUUCACUUAAGUUCAUUGUCGAGUAGUUUUUCGUGCUUAAUAUGAAAAUGUUGUCAUCUUUAUCUCAUAGAUGUACAUUUUCACUUCUCAUUUUUGCUUAGUUCACUCUUAAGGCAACAAAACCACAUGCUCUCUACAUUGUAUCAUUCUAUUUGCAGAUUCUCGAGGUCUUUUAUUCUGCCCAAAAAGUUGUACUUCUUCCAACUCGUCCACUUUUUUUCUUUUUUUUAUCAUGAAACUUGGACGUUAAGCCUAGGUGUGUACAGGCAUUGAUUGAUAUAUUUUGUACAUGUUCAUACUAGACAUAGAGCUAGGUAGAACAAUUUCUUAAUAUGGUAGAAGUUUGAGCUAUUGUAAGUAUCUACUGACCAACUAUAUGUGCAUCGUUCAAUGUUAUAUGCAAUUUGUUAAAUAUUAGUUCUUUGAUGAAAAGUUUGGAUUAAUUUAAUUGAUUCAAUUUUUAAAUUGAUAUGAGCGUCAAAACAAGUAUUUCAAAUUGAAUAAUUUUUCUUUUGAGAAAAAAAGGCCUUGACAUGCAAAAAUGUGUCAAGAAUUAAAUAUUUUUAUUCUUGACACUGGAUUACUUGAUAGAUAAUAAGUGUUAAGAUCAAAUAUUCUUGAUGAAUAAUAUAGGUCAAGAAUAAACAAAUUCUUAACACGUAAAAAGCGUCAACUGAUCUCAUAUACUUGACGUUUAUGAAGCGUCAAAUACAUUUUAUCUUGAUGCAUAAAGACUGUCAAAGAAAAAAACUCUUAUUCUUGACACUGGAGUACUUAUUGCAUUUAAAAGCAUCAAGUAAACAAAUACUUGACACGUAAAAAGAGUCAAGUAAGGCUAACUUUGUAGUAAUAAAUUGAAAGUAUAUAAAAAAGACCAUGGUGAACAUUUUAAAAGUAUAAAGACCAAUACAUGCAUGAGAAAAAAAUUAAAAGCGCAUGGAUCAAAAUUGACAUUUUAAAAGUACAGAAACUAAAAAGAACCAAAAUCAAAAGUACAACGAUAAAAGUAAAAUUUAAACAUACUCAACCAAUAAAUGAAAAGGUGCCAUGUUGUACAACACCUAUAUUCUUUAGAUAGUACAAAAUUGUUCACUUGUCUUUUAUAACAUGGUAAAUCCUAUUUUAAUUCUCCAUGUAUAUGAUAGAGAAUGAGAUACAUAUAAAAAUAAUGGAAAACUACAUUAUAUGACAAAUUUUUUUUAGAAAAAACAGUUCAUAACACAAUUUUUUGGCAUAUUACAAAUUUCGCAAAUAUGACUAAUAAUUGACGGUAAUCAAAUGGUAAUCAGAUGAUAAUGAGAUGAUGCUUUUAAAUUUGUUAAAAUUUAGAAAAUAUAAGUAGCACACAUACUUUAUUAUAAUAGUUUUUUUUUACUAUUUUUACAAACUCAAUCAAUAUGUAUUUAUCAAUGCUCUUAAAUUGAUAUAUAUAAUUUAAAACCUAGACGAACAUUUUCGUAUGUAUGACACACAUUCAUUUCCCCAUUGAUGAAAGCAGCAAGCAAGAAGCGUCAACUAUGUAUAUAAAUAUUCAAAUAUAUAUUUUGUUUCUGCUCAAAGUAAAGAACUUCGUCAAGUUCACAACAAAAAGUUGACUUAUUGUAAAUAAUUGGAUGAGCAUGUGAAUUGUUUAUGAAUUAAAUCUCAAGUAAAGUUGAUGAUUCAUUGGCUCCCAAACCCAAAUACCUAAAUUUAAGGCCACACAUCUUGGAGAAAUUCACUAUAAAAAUGGAGAUACUUUCAUGUAUUUUCCAAACAAUAACACAAAAUUUGAGAACUAAUUAUAUCAUCCUAUAGUUUCCAAUAUGGGAAGAAUUGCCUUAUUAUUUCUCUUCUUGUUCUUCUCAGUUGCUGUCGAAGGAGCUCCACAGGCCAAGAAAGUUAAAUGCAAUGACGAUAAUUAUCCUCAAUGUUACAAAUCGGACCAUUAUUGUCCUGCUGAUUGUCCUCAAACUUGUGUUGUAGAUUGUUCAUCUUGCAAACCUGUCUGCAAUCCCCCUCCUCCGCCCCCUCGCAAACUCAAAUCUCCACCACCGCCCUAUAUUUACUCUUCUCCCCCACCACCUCCUUAUAUUUACUCUUCCCCUCCGCCACCACCCCCACGUGUUUACUCUUCUCCCCCACCACCUCCUUAUAUUUACUCUUCCCCUCCGCCACCUCCUCCUUACAUUAAUGCUUCGCCUCCACCACCUCCACCAUCUACGUCGCCUCCAACUCCAACUCCGUCCACUCCAACAUCUCCGCCACCGUCAUCUGAGGGGUCGGGGCAAAAGAAAGCUAGGUGCAAGAAUA
rnacentral:lncRNA from 1 species